AACGUAGGUGGCGAGCGUUAUCCGGAUUUACUGGGCGUAAAGCGUGCGCAGGCGGUUUUGUAAGUCUGAUGUGAAAUCCCCGGGCUUAACCUGGGAAUGGCACUUGAAACUACGAUGCUGGAGUAUGGCAGAGGGAGGUGGAAUUCCACGUGUAGCGGUGAAAUGCGUAGAGAUGUGGAGGAACACCGAUGGCGAAGGCAGCCUCCUGGGCCAAUACUGACGCUCAUGCACGAAAGCGUGGGGAGCAAACAGG
rnacentral:rRNA from 1 species